UACAGAGGGUGCGAGCGUUGUCCGGAAUCACUGGGCGUAAAGGGCGCGUAGGCGGUGGCGUAAGCGUGCGGUGAAAGCUCGGGGCUCAACCCCGAGUCGGCCGUGCGAACUGGGCCACUGGAGCAGAUCAGAGGCAGGCGGAAUUCCGGGUGUAGCGGUGGAAUGCGUAGAGAUCCGGAAGAACACCGGUGGCGAAGGCGGCCUGCUGGGAUCUUGCUGACGCUGAGGCGCGACAGCGUGGGGAGCAAACAGGAUUAGAAACCCCCGUAGUCC
rnacentral:rRNA from 1 species